GCCUGCGAGGUGGAGCGAAACUGGCGAGGAAACGUAGUCGUGUCGGUGUCCUGAGAUCGACUCUCCACUCGGUUACGCGACGCGCUUCUGGCCUGGCGGCGCGGGGCUCAUGGAGGGGGAGAAGAUUCUCCAAACGAUUUACAUCUUUAUAUGGGUUUGUCCACGCCGAACGGAACGAUCGAUCUGCCACCUUUCGCUAGGAAAGGUUUCGUGAUGUAGAUACGUUUGCGCUCGAAAAAAGACGCACGAAGCGAGAACAGGAUAUCCAGUUCGAUGGACUCGAAGAGCAUCCACCGGAAAUGUAACUCGAUCACGAGGAUGUUUCUCGGGUUUACGCGCUCGCCAAUCCAAUGAGCUUUACUUUCGAUCGCCUCGAGUUCGAAUUUGCUCGAGCCAUAAAUUUCGUGCAUGGUACGAAAUAAAAGUUCUGAAUAAAAGAAAGGGAGAAAAAAAGGAGGAGAAACGGGACUGGGGGGACCAUUUCGUCCGAGUGAGUCACUGUUAAAAACGCCGCGAGUCUCUCUCUCUCUCCGCUUUUCUCGACUGUCAUGCCCUGUUGAGAGGAAUACGAUAACCACGUCGCGUCAUUCCGUCUCCAGCUGCGCUUGCCACCGUUUCACGAUCCCCUGCCGUUGUAGAAUCCCUUUUUCUAUUAUUGUAACUCAUUCCGUUCUUCACUCCUGCCAUCUAUUGCUCUCUUUCUUUAUUUAUUCAACAUUGUUUUCGUUUUCGAGAGAUUGCAAUUCUUUGACGUGAUACAAUAUAUAUAUACAUAUAUAUAUGUAAUAUUAGCUACAUGUAUGCCUGUAUCGAUUGAAAAAAACGGUAAAUAUUAUCUUCUCUUCGUUUCUGUAACCUGAUAUAUCCUCCAUAACCUCGCACGAAAUAAACGCAUUCGCAAAUACUAAUGCGACAAUGCGUGUUUUAAAUCGAAAAAAUUUCUUUCGCAUUAAGGAUAGCGUAUAUACUUCGUAAUUGGUACACACUGUCUCGAGUUAAGUCAAAUUCAUGGAGCGAGACACCGACCGCGCCGGUUCGUAUAGCCGGACGAUGAGUCAUAUGAGGUCGUUGUCUGCUACUUACAAUUAGUCCAAGAAAAUCUACCAUCACGAUAAUGUAUAUUUCCUCGUCCAUUCGUUCAACUCGUGAUUUUAACUUUUUCAAUUGUUUCCUGUUUUUCGAAUAAAAAAUCACUUUUAAAAAUAU